rnacentral:misc_RNA from 1 species
GAUGAAGAACGCAGCGAAAUGCGAUAAGUAAUGUGAAUUGCAGAAUUCAGUGAAUCAUCGAAUCUUUGAACGCACAUUGCGCCCGUCAGUAUUCUGGCGGGCAUGCCUGUUCGAGCGUCAUUACGCCCCUCAAGUCCCCUGUGGACUUGGUGUUGGGGAUCGGCGAGGCUGGUUUUCCAGCACAGCCGUCCCUUAAAUUAAUUGGCGGUCUCGCCGUGGCCCUCCUCUGCGCAGUAGUAAGACACUCGCAACAGGAGCCCGGCGCGGUCCACUGCCGUAAAACCCCCCAACUUUUUAUAGUUGACCUCGAAUCAGGUAGGACUACCCGCUGAACUUAAGCAUAUCAAUAAGCGGAGGA